CAGAACGAACGCUGGCGGCGUGGCUAAGGCAUGCAAGUCGAACGAGGUGUGUGGAAGGUAACGGAAGCACACUUAGUGGCGAACGGGUGAGGAAUAGAUAGGUAACGUACCCUGGACUCAGGAAUAGCGGCGUCACUUCGGGACUUGCGAAAGUGCCGGUAAUACCUGAUGACAUCAUCGGAUCUCAUGGUCCGGUGAUCAAAGGUCCGCAGGUCUGGGAGCGGCCUAUCUCCUAUCAGCUUGUUGGUGGGGUAACGGCCUACCAAGGCUUCGACAGGUACCAGGCGUGAGAGCGUGUUCUGGCACAUCGGGACUGAGACACUGCCCGGACAUCUACGGAUGGCUGCAGCAACGAAUAUUCCGCAAUGGGCGAAAGCCUGACGGAGCGACGCCGCGUGUAGGAUGAAGGACUUCGGUUUGUAAACUGCUGUCAGGGGUUAGGAAGAAAGUGACCAAUCCCAAAGGAAGCCUCGGCUAAGUCCGUGCCAGCAGCCGCGGUAAUACGGAGGGGGCUAGCGUUGUUCGGAAUUAUUGGGCUUAAAGCGUGCGUAGGCGGGAUGGCAGGUGUCUUGUGAAAGCCCUCGGCUCAACCGAGGAAUUGCUGGGCAAACCGCCAUUCUUGAGGUCAGCAGGGGUACCUGGAACUUUGGGUGGAGCGGUGAAAUGCGUAGAUAUCCAAGGGAACGCCGGUGGCGAAAGCGGGGUCCUGGGCUGGUUCUGACGCUGAGGUACGAAAGCGUGGGUAGCAAACAGGAUUAGAUACCUGGUAGUCCACGCCGUAAACGAUGCGCACUAGGUAUCAGCGCCUCUGACGGGGUUGGUGCCGUAGCGAAAGCAUUAAGUGCGCCGCCUGGGGAGUACGGCCGCAAGGCUAAAACUCAAAGGAAUUGACGGGGGCUCACACAAGCGGUGGAGCAUGUGGAUUAAUUCGAAGCAACGCGAAGAACCUUACCUGGGUUUGACAUGCUGGGAUGCACCCGUGAAAGCGGGCUAUGCUGCUCUUGGUGAAACUAGCACAGGUGCUGCACGGCUGUCGUCAGCUCGUGCUGUGAA
rnacentral:rRNA from 1 species